rnacentral:rRNA from 1 species
UACGGGGGGGGCAAGCGUUGUUCGGAAUUACUGGGCGUAAAGGGCGUGUAGGUGGCCAACUAAGUCCGACGUGAAAUCCCCAGGCUUAACCUGGGAACUGCGUCGGAUACUGGAUGGCUUGAAUUCGGGAGAGGGAUGCAGAAUUCCAGGUGUAGCGGUGAAAUGCGUAGAGAUCCGGAGGAACACCAGUGGCGAAGGCGACACGCUGGGCCGUACCUGACGCUAAAGCGCGACAGCAUGGGGAGCAAACGGG